rnacentral:rRNA from 1 species
UACGUAGGUGGCUAGCGUUGUCCGGAUUUACUGGGCGUAAAGAGCGCGCAGGCGGUCGUUCAAGUCGAGUGUGAAAGCCCCCGGCUCAACUGGGGAGGGUCACGCGAUACUGAUCGACUCGAAGGCAGGAGAGGGAAGUGGAAUUCCCGGUGUAGUGGUGAAAUGCGUAGAUAUCAGGAGGAACACCUGUGGUGUAGACAGCUUACUGGACCAUGACUGACGCUGAGACACGAAAGCGUGGGUAGCAAACAGG